GCCUGGGUGGCUCAGUCAGUUAAGCAUCUGACUUCGGCUCAGGUCACGAUCUCACGGUUCGUGGGUUCGAGCCCCGUGUCGGGCA
rnacentral:tRNA from 1 species